rnacentral:lncRNA from 1 species
UUCUUGGGUUGCUGUGUUCACCUCUUCCCUUCCUCCAUCUUGAGUUUUCUGAGAGUGUCUCAGAUCUAAAACUCCUUCUCCUACUUUUUAUCUUUGAAAGAAUUCUAAUCAAGAAGAAGGAGGCAUCUGAUCGACCAUCGAAGAAGGAUCAGUGCAGUACUAGCAUACAUUGCUGAUUUUUUGGAUCAGGAUUCUGAUUGUGAUUCGUAGGCUCGUGUGGACGACUCUUAGAGGCCGGACGUAUGUGUGGCUCACAACAUCAUCCUCAAGCC